rnacentral:rRNA from 1 species
CAGCAGCCGCGGGAAUACGGAGGAUCCAAGCGUUAUCCGGAAUCAUUGGGUUUAAAGGGUCCGUAGGCGGUCUUGUAAGUCAGUGGUGAAAGCCCAUCGCUCAACGGUGGAACGGCCAUUGAUACUGCAGGACUUGAAUUAUUGGGAAGUAACUAGAAUAUGUAGUGUAGCGGUGAAAUGCUUAGAGAUUACAUGGAAUACCAAUUGCGAAGGCAGGUUACUACCAAUUGAUUGACGCUGAUGGACGAAAGCGUGGGUAGCGAACAGGAUUAGAUACCCCUGUAGUCCCUGUCUCUUAUAC